rnacentral:rRNA from 1 species
UACGUAGGGUGCAAGCGUUGUCCGGAAUUAUUGGGCGUAAAGAGCUCGUAGGCGGUUUGUUGCGUCGGCUGUGAAAUCCCGAGGCUCAACCUCGGGUCUGCAGUCGAUACGAGCAAACUAGAGUGUUGCAGGGGAGACUGGAAUUCCUGGUGUAGCGGUGAAAUGCGCAGAUAUCAGGAGGAACACCGGUGGCGAAGGCGGGUCUCUGGGCAACAACUGACGCUGAGGAGCGAAAGCGUGGGGAGCGAACGGA